GGCGGGAAGCGGCAAUGGCGGAGGCGGCGCUGAGCAGCUCCGGAACCGCCGGGAAACGGAGCCGGGACCCGCCCGGCUCCCGCUGGGAAUUCCGGACCCCCCCGCCCAAACGGCUCCGAGCGGCUCCAGAAAGCCCGGCCCGGAAUUCCCAAAAUUCCCAAAAGAAUUCCCAGAAUUCCCCCAGCCCUGAGCGGGAAAUCCGGCAGAGAGCGACGCCGGCCCGG